AUUGAACGCUGGCGGCAGGCCUAACACAUGCAAGUCGAACGGUACCAGGAAGAAGCUUGCUUCUUUGCUGCGGAGUGGCGGACGGGCGAGUAAUGUCUGGGAAACUGCCUGAUGGAGGGGGUGAACUACUGGAAACGGUAGCUCAUACCGCAUAACGUCCCAAGACCAAAGAGCGGGACCUUCGGGCCCCUUGCCAUCGGAUGUGCCCAGAUGGGAGUAGCUAGUAGGUGGGGUAACGGCUCACCUAGGCGACGAGCCCUAGCUGGUCUGAGAGGCUGACCAGCCAGACUGGAAGUGAGGAAGAGUCCCGACUCUGACGGGAAGCAGCAGUGGGGAAUAUUGCGCGAGGGAGGAGAGGCUGAUGCAGCAAAACCGGGGGAAUCAAGAAGGACUUCGGGUUGGAAAGUGCUGUAGGCGGGAGGGAAGGGAAGAAAGUUAAUACCGUAGGAUAUUGACGGUACCCGGAGAAGAAGCACCGGCUAACUCCGUG
rnacentral:rRNA from 1 species